GAAGGGGGCUAGCGUUGUUCGGAAUUACUGGGCGUAAAGCGCACGUAGGCGGAUAUUUAAGUCAGGGGUGAAAUCCCGCAGCUCAACUGCGGAACUGCCUUUGAUACUGGGUAUCUUGAGUAUGGAAGAGGUAAGUGGAAUUCCGAGUGUAGAGGUGAAAUUCGUAGAUAUUCGGAGGAACACCAGUGGCGAAGGCGGCUUACUGGUCCAUUACUGACGCUGAGGUGCGAAAGCGCGGGGAGCAAACAGGAUUAGAUACCCUGGUAGUCCACGCCGUAAACGAUGAAUGUUAGCCCGUCGGGCAGUAUACUGUUCGGUGGCGCAGCUAACGCAUUAAACAUUCCGCCUGGGGAGUACGGUCGCAAGAUUA
rnacentral:rRNA from 1 species